rnacentral:rRNA from 1 species
UACGUAGGUCCCGAGCGUUGUCCGGAUUUAUUGGGCGUAAAGCGAGCGCAGGUGGUUUAUUAAGUCUGGUGUAAAAGGCAGUGGCUCCACCAUUGUAUGCAUUGGAAACUGGUAGACUUGUGUGCAGGAGAGGAGAGUGGAAUUCCAUGUGUAGCGGUGAAAUGCGUAGAUAUAUAGAGGAACACCGGUGGCGAAAGCGGCUCUCUGGCCUGUAACUGACACUGAGGCUCGAAAGCGUGGGGAGCAAACAGG